UGCAUCCCUUACAUACACAGAAACACACUUUGCAUCCCUUAUGCAUACAAACACAGAUUCACACAAUGCAUCCCUUACACACAACAAGAAACACACAAUACAUCCCUUAUACACACACACACUGCUUCCACUACACACAAACACACUGCAUCACCUACACAAACUGGUAUCCCCUAUACACUACAUUCCGUAAGCACACACAUUAGAUCCUCUACAGUAACACAUAACACAUCCCCUACACACUCUACUCCCUGUGAGCGGACUCAUGGGUGGAACAUGUAGGUGGACUUAUGGGUGGGUUUUAUGGGCAUACUCACCGUCAGGCCCUGGGGCCCAGACCUUGAGCUAUGUAAGAGGCCCCAAAAAAAUGGAGCUGCUUCCCGUUCUCCCAGAACAUUGAAUUUUGUGACCACAGUUACAAACAGCCUCCAGAGAUCCUGUUCUACACCAGACCAGUGGAGCCA